AGUCCAUGCAAAGUUGCAAGCCAUUGCACAGGGCUCAUUGUCCAGGAAACUCUAAAAGCAAGCAAAGAAGCCUACAAAAAUAAGACAACCUCGUUCUCGGUGAGGUCUCCUCACAUGUGCAGCCUCUCUACUGGUUAUCUUGCUAGCGUUUAGCAGUUGCUUUCAUGGAAUGAUCUUCAAGCAGACCCAUCUGGCAUAACAGGAGCUGCACUUUCCUUACCUUCCAUGAUAUAUACAACUUACACUGUCUUGUUAUUACUUGUGAAUGAUGUUCUUUCACUAUGAGAAAUGAUCUAAUCCAAGUUAGGUUUUACUUGGUAAUUGCAUUCAUGAAACAGAGAGGUUCAGACUUCAUUCUGCGUUGAGACUGCCUAGAAAUGCAUCUUGAUCCUGCUUUGCAUAUUAGAUCUUUUCCCUUCUACAGUUAGUUUAUAACUAAUCAAAGUAUUCAUUCAAAACACAAAAGUUUCCCUAGUAUGGAUUGUUGCAGGGUUUGGAAUGUUUAAAUGACUCGAGAUUCUUCCUAUCUUAAAACAAAGAGGAACAUUUACGGUAUGAAAGACAGAUUUGAGCACUACAAAUCCUGAUGCAAGGAAGGUGUCGAGACAUAGGUCGUGCAGCAGAUUUGAAUGGAUACCCACAUGGAUCAAUGAGGUAAAAGACUGAAGGAGUAAUCUUGCGGGUUUGCAGCAUUGCUACUUCCACUUGACAAGAAUUGGUGCUGGGCAUGGACUAAAAUAUGUAAAAUUAGAAGUUUCCUUGUUGUCAUGAGCAAGAAUGAGACCGUUUAGGAUAUUUUCCAAAAAAAAUAAAAAAAAAUGCUUGAUAUAUGUCUUCUCAAAAUGGAAGAUGAAGAUGGCCUCCCAUUUAAAUUUGAUUUAUAUGCCUUCUCAAAAUAGUGUCUGAUAUAGGAAAACAGCUUCCUUCCCUGUUGUGUUAAACAAAUACAA